UACUUUACUUUGAGCAAUACAAGAAUCCUUAUAAUACUUUACUUAGAUUGAUUCUAAGUUGCCGCACGAGAGUCAAGAAAUAACUUCGUGACAUUAGGAUUACUUACAAAGGGUCAUACACAAGAAGCGCUGCUACCUAAGUCCCUCCCACUAACCCAGUUCAGUUAUAAGGUUAAAAUUUAAAAUUUCAGGGGCUAAAAGUGUCUUUUCAAAAUCCACCAUGGGGGUAGAACGGUCAUUUAUUAUUUAUAUAAUUAUGACCCCCGCACAAUUUUACUGUUUGUAAUUUGAGUCCCCGUAAAAGGCGCCUGUAAAAAUUUAAUCUUCUUCCCCUGCACUGGUUUCUUCUACCGGCGAUUUCCUUCUUCUGGUAAGUCUUCUAUAAACUCUCCUGCAACUUCCUGGAUGAAACAUACAUAAGAAGCUUUGGAGCUAUCCAUUUUCCUUACCAUUUUCCAAGAAGCUCCACCUAGAACAUACACGGCGACUGCAUUUAACUAUCGUUUUCCGGCGACGGAAACGACUACUGUAAUCGGUCUCUCUCCUUUUCUGACGACCCAUUCACUGUUACCCGUUUGUAUGGCUACUGGUACCCAUUUCCAUCUUCGUCUCCCUCGUUUUCUGGCUCUCCCGUUUGAAUUCCGACGAGUCAUCGACCGCCGCAGUUUUGGAGAAAUUAUGGAAAUCCAAUAAAUCUUUGAAGGCGAAGAUCAGAGGAAUGUUACACCAAGCACUAACAACUGCCCAUACCCGUAUAGCCAUCGAGCAUGUAGUGAAUAAGUGAUCCAUCGAUUUCUCGUACUUGUCAUAGAAAGGGCACAUAACCGACGUAAUAUCCACAUUCCUUCUUUUCAAGUUAACUUUUGUUACAAGCCUGUCCAAGUUUCCUCUCCAAGCCAUUAUAUUACAUUUGAGAGGAACUCAUUUGCACCAAACGAAGUUAGGGAGAAGUCUAUUUCAUCUAUCAUUAAUGAGCACCUUUUUCACAGAAUUCACCGAGAACCCUUCCUGAUUGUCAAUGUUCCAGUACCACGAAUCCUUAUCGUUGGACAGCCACACCAUGUUGAUAACAUCUUGACAUUCCUGCCAUUCCUUAAGCUCGAUGUCCGACUCGGGCUGUCUAACCCAAUUCCAAGAAAAACCAUCAUUGCCUUGAUCCAUUUCCAAUCUGUCAGCAACCCUGCAUGAUUUAAACCUUUCCAAAACAAACAGAUGUGGCCAUCUUUCCAAGAAAGGAAAUCGCCUACUCAGGUGUCUAACCAAAAACGAAUAUUGAUUCCGUUCCCCAUCUUACCCAAAAUCAUCUGAUUUAAACCUUUCCCAUUUAGUUUCAUUUUGGAAAUCACUUUUACAAUAUUUAUCCAACAACCCGCAAUGUUAACAUUAAGCGGCAGAAAGCUUCUUUGAUUGUUUUUACUAAGACACGCUUCCACCACUUUCCUCCACAAAAUUUGAUUUUUGAUCCUAUAUCUCCAACCCGAUUUAUAUAGGAGGGCCUCAUUAACGUAUUUGAGUCUAUUAAUACCCAACCCCCUCUUUUUUGGGCCAAGUAACCCAAUCCCAGGCCACCCAGUUCAUUUUAUUAAUGUAACUAGAACCCGUCCAAAGAAACUUUCUCAUUUUAGUCUCAAGAAGAUUUAAAGACAGCGUAUUCGCAGUUGGAAUUCCUGAGCACUUAUUUUGCUGAAUUAAGCUUGAUAGAGUAUCAAUGUCUAGAGUUUUUGCCUUCUAUGGUUACAGCGUCCAUUACUUUUCUUUCAAGAUUCCUCUCACCCAAACAACACAUCCAUGGAAUUUGUCUCUGGAAAGUGUUUAAGGAUAUAAGGCGUCUCAAAUUAAAGAAUGCGUUCAGAUAUUACAUGGUGUUCACGUAGAUGAACAAGUAGGCAUGGAUAUUCGUACAAGAGUACAAGAGGUUGAAUGUAUGCCGAGCAAAUUUGCAUACCCAAGACGCAAUUCCAUUCAUCUUCUUUGAAGAUGCAUAUUCUAUCAACAUUUUUAGAUAUCUUCAAUCUAUGAAGAACGAAGGAAACAGAAGAACAAUGGCGGGAUACAUGGUGCAAGUGCAAAAAUAUAUAACUGAAGGAAUGAGGACUAUAAUUAUUGAGUGGUUAUUUGAAGUUGCUGAAGAUCGCCGUUUUUUUCAAGAAACUUUGUUCUGUACUGUCACUUACAUUGACAAAUACUUAAGCGUAAGAGUUCUGCAAGACAAGGUUUCUUUCAACUUCUAGCAGUUUCUUCGAUGCUUAUUGCUACAAGAUAUAAAACACAACCUGCAAGUCUUGAGUAUUUCUGUGAAAAGACUCUUUAUACUUACACAGCAGAAGAAGCUGUAGAAAUGCAGUCCGAUGUAUCAAUAGUAAUCAAAGAUGAAAUGCGUAAUCACACAAUUAUCUCAUUCUUAAGAAUCUUAACCAACAUUUCACAAGAAGAUUAUAAAGCAUGGUAUUUACAGUUAGAGUUCUUGAGCAAUUUUUAGGCUGAAUUGAGCUUGAUUGAAUACCAUUGUCCAGAAUUUGCCAUCUAUGGUUGCUGCAGCUGUUACUUUUCUUUCAAGAUUUAGAGUCAAACAAUCAUCACAUCCAUGGAUGAACCAGUAGGCAUGGAUAUUCGUACAAAGUACAAGAGGUUGAAUGUAUGUCAGACGAAUUUGCAUACCCAAGAAGCAAUUCCAUCCAUCUUCUUUGAAGAUGCAUAUUCUGUCAACAUUUUCAGAUAUCUUCAAUCUAUGGAGAACGAAGGAAACAGAAGAACAAUGGCGGGAUACAUGGAGCAAGUGCAAAAAUAUAUAACUGAAGGAAUGAGGACUAUAAUUAUUGAGUGGUUAUUUGAAGUUGCUUGAAGAUCGUCGAUUUGUUCCAGAAACUUUGUUCUGUACCGUCUCUUACAUUGACAAUACUUAAGCGUAAGAGUUCUGCGAAGACAAGGUUUAUUUCAACUUCUAAAAGUUUCUCCGAUGCUUAUUGUUGCAAGAUAUGAAACAGAACCUGCAGGUCUCAAGUAUUUAUGUGGAAAGACUCUUUAUUCUUACACGGCAGAAGAAGCCACAGAAAUGCAGUCCGAAGUAUCAAUAGUAAUCAAAGAUGAAAUGCGCAAUCCCACAAUUAUCUCAUUCUUAAGAAUCUUAACCAACAUUUCACAAGAAGAUUAUAAAACAUGGUACUUGCAGUUGGAGAUUUUUUGGCUGAAUUGAGCUUGAUUGAAUACCGUUGUCUAGAAUUUGUGCCAUCUAUGGGUGUUGCAGCUGUUACUUUUCUUUCAAGGUUUACAGUCAGACAAUCAUCACAUCCAUGGAAUCUGUCUUUGGAAAGUAUAUCAGGAUAUAAGCCAUCUCAAAUUAAAGAAUGUGUUCAAAUCUACAUGAUGCCCAUUUGAAUGUAGUAGGCAAGCGAAUCAGAGAGAAGUAUAGGAACGCAAAUGUAUGCUAGGAGAAAUUGUCAACCCCAAAAGCAAUACCAUCGGUCUUCUUUGAAAAUGCCAACUUUUAGUCAAUACUUAGUCAAACAUUGGAAAUGAGUUUCAAAUACAAUUCAUUAGUAUAUACUCUGCGAUAUUGAUGUUUCUAACUAUGAUGUGAUUAGUUACUUUGACCAUCCCAACCAAAGCUGUGCUAAAUAGUAAUGAUAAAGAUAUAACUCAGGUUCUAUGUACCUGUAAUGUUCAUUUGAUUCAUCACGUAUAUGCACAUGUAAUGUUCAAUUGA